rnacentral:rRNA from 1 species
UCAGGAUGAACGCUAGCUACAGGCUUAACACAUGACAAGUCGAGGGGCAGCAGUUGGGAUAGCUUGCUAUUCAGAUGGCGACCGGCGCACGGGUGAGUAACGCGUAUCCAACCUUCCGUGCCAGUAGGGAACACGCCCGGCGAAAGUCGGAUUAAUGCCCUAUGUUCUUCAAUGCGGACAUCUAAGUUGAAGGAAAGAUUCAUCGCUGGCAGAUGGGGAUGCGUCCGAUUAGCUUGCCGGCGGGGUAACGGCCCACCGGGGCGACGAUCGGUAGGGGUUCUGAGAGGAAGGUCCCCCACACUGGUACUGAGACACGGACCAGACUCCUAUGGGAGGCAGCAGUGAGGAAUAUUGGUCAAUGGGCGUAAGCCUGAACCAGCCAAGUAGCGUGCAGGAAUGACGGCCCUACGGGUUGUAAACUGCUUUUAUGCGGGGAUAAAGUGCGGCACGUGUGCCGCUUUGCAGGUACCGCAUGAAUAAGGACCGGCUAAUUCCGUGCCAGCAGCCGC